UACGUAGGGUGCAAGCGUUAAUCGGAAUUACUGGGCGUAAAGCGCACGUAGUCGGCUUUGCAAGUCGGUUGUGAAAUCCCCGGGCUCAACCUGGGAACUGCAUCCGAGACUGCAUUGCUAGAGUAUGGGAGAGGAAAGCGGAAUUUCUGGUGUAGCAGUGAAAUGCGUAGAGCUCGGGAAGAACAUCGGUGGCGAAAGCGCUCUACUGGACUGCAACUGACACUCAGGGACGAAAGCUAGGGGAGCGAAUGGG
rnacentral:rRNA from 1 species